GAUGAAGAACGUAGUGAAAUGCGAUAAGUAGUGUGAAUUGCAGAAUUCAGUGAAUCAUCGAAUCUUUGAACGCACAUUGCGCCCCUUGGUAUCCCGAGGGGCAUGCCUGUUCGAGCGUCAUUUCACCACUCAAGCCUGGCUUGGUGUUGGGCGACGUCCCCUUUGGGGACGCGCCUCGAAACGCUCGGCGGCGUGGCACCGGCUUUAAGCGUAGCAGAAUCUUUCGCUUUGGAAGUCGGGGCCCCGUCUGCCGGAAGAUCUACUCGCAAGGUUGACCUCGGAUCAGGCAGGGAUACCCGCUGAACUUAAGCAUAUCAAUAAGCGGAGGA
rnacentral:misc_RNA from 1 species